UACAGAGGGGGCAAGCGUUGUUCGGAAUUACUGGGCGUAAAGGGCGCGUAGGCGGCCCUCUAAGUCAGACGUGAAAUCCCUCGGCUUAACCGGGGAACUGCAUCUGAUACUGGAUGGCUUGAGUUCGGGAGAGGGAUGCGGAAUUCCAGGUGUAGCGGUGAAAUGCGUAGAUAUCUGGAGGAACACCGGUGGCGAAGGCGGCAUCCUGGACCGACACUGACGCUGAGGAGCGAAAGCCAGGGGAGCAAACGGG
rnacentral:rRNA from 1 species